GUCUCGCUAGCAUGACCCAUUCAUGUCUCCUAAAAUGAUUAUCCUAAUCUUUGAGGUUUAUCAUAAUCUUAGACAUAAUAAGAUGCAGCUAGAAAAUAUCACUACAUGAGUUAGAAAAUUACAAGAAAAAAUCCCAUCGCAACACAUUGUGAUUGGCUUAUAGAGCACUCUUCUUUCACAAUGAAUAGCAGGAGAAGUUGACUAAGGAAGGUGUUCCGUAAGAAGGCUUGGCUGUGGGGGAGAGAUCAGGAAGAAGAAGAGAAAGAGGCAAGUCAAGAAAAUGGUCAAAGUCUUAGAAGAACAAGAGCAGGAAUGAAGCUAGGUACUACAAGUGCAACGAGAUUGGGCACUUCAAACGAAAUUGCUCGUAGUGGAAGAACAAGAAGGGAGAUAUGGGCGG
rnacentral:lncRNA from 1 species